rnacentral:rRNA from 1 species
ACUGGCGGCGUGCCUAACACAUGCAAGUCGAACGAAGCACUUCUCCCGUCAAAGUUGAUUAGCUUGCUAUGAAGUGGAGACAUUGAAGUGACUAGUGGCGGACGGGUGAGUAACGCGUGGGUAACCUGCCCCAUACCGGGGGACAACAGCUAGAAAUGGCUGCUAAUACCGCAUAAGCGCACGAUGUCGCAUGGCAUUGUGUGAAAAACUCCGGUGGUAUGGGAUGGACCCGCGUCUGAUUAGCUAGUUGGUGAGGUAACGGCCCACCAAGGCGACGAUCAGUAGCCGGCCUGAGAGGGUGAACAGCCACAUUGGGACUGAGACACGGCCCAGACUCCUACGGGAGGCAGCAGUGGGGAAUAUUGCACAAUGGGCGAAAGCCUGAUGCAGCGACGCCGCGUGAGUGAAGAAGUAUUUCGGUAUGUAAAGCUCUAUCAGCAGGGAAGAAAAUGACGGUACCUGACUAAGAAGCACCGGCUAAAUACGUGCCAGCAGCAGC